AAAAAUGGGAAAAUAGAGUACUCCCAACACAUGCUCCAAAUUCCAGACACGAUGCAGCCAAAGCACAAUAUUUCUAAUUCCCAUCAGCUUUUCCCUUUGGUGCAAAUCUUCUACCAGCUUCACCUUCAAGUUCCCAUCUCAUCAAAACUAUCCUUUCCUUCGGUAUAAACCCUAAAUCUCCAUGGGCGAAUCGCAUCGAUGCUCUGUCCAUCUCGCCAUCGGCGGUGGCGCAGUUGCAGAUGUGUUGUUGUGGAAGAAUUGGUUUGGGAGUGCUGCUGUGCUUAUCGGUUCCACCGCCCUUUGGUUACUAUCUGAAAGAGCCGGCUAUAAUCUCUUAUCAUUUAUUUCAAAUGCCUUAUUUUUGCUUGUAGUGAUCUUGUUCUUCUGGGCCAAAUCUGCAUUACUUCUCAAUAGACCUCUGCCUCCUGUUCCUAAUCUGGACAUUUCUGAGGAAUCUGUUGUGAAAGCUGCUGAUGAGAUGCAAGUUUGGGUAAAUCGAGCAUUAUCCAUUGCACACGACAUUACCAUUGGCGGAAACUUGGGACUCUUUUUUCAGGUCUUUUUAGGCUUGUGGAUGAUCUCCUACAUUGGAGGUUUCUUCAACUUCCUUACCCUGGCAUAUAUUGCGGUUCUUCUUAGUUUAUCACUACCUGUCUUCUACGCCAAAUACCAAAGGCAAAUCGAUGAAAAGCUGAUUAUAGCACAUAAGAUUAUUCAGACACAGUACCGGAAAAUCGAUGAACAAAUAUUGAGAAAGAUUCCAAUGCUUUCAAACAAUGAUAAGAAGAACCAAUAGAUUCGGUCCCCCGAAAGUGUAACAAGUGCUCUCUUGAAGCUAUCUCCUCAAACAUGAAAAGAUUCCAAAUGUUAUGCUUCUUUGCACUGUAUCUCCAGGUAUUGGACAUCUACGUUGCAUACCAUUAGUUCUGGGAAUGAACAGAGCAUGAUUGCCUUCUCAUCAAUAGUUUACAGGAGAGGCUAAUAGAACAUUGUUUUUCAUGCUUGUAACUCAGUGGUGAUAUUUUUGUAAUUUUUAAUCCUUUUCCACGCUUCAUUGACUGGAAUGCCUUAAAAGGUCUUGAUUUUUGUCGAAAGUUGAUCAAAUGAGGAUCUGCUGCUUGCUGAUUCUGAAGUAUACUUCUGUGAAUGUCAAAAGUCUGAAUAGGAUGGUUAGUUUUGUUUUGUGGUUAA